UACGUAGGGGGCGAGCGUUGUCCGGAUUUAUUGGGCGUAAAGAGCGUGUAGGCGGCCAAGCAGGUCCGCUGUGAAAACUCGAGGCUCAACCUCGAGACGUCGGUGGAAACCGUUUGGCUAGAGUCCGGAAGAGGAGAGUGGAAUUCCCGGUGUAGCGGUGAAAUGCGCAGAUAUCGGGAGGAACACCCGUGGCGAAGGCGGCCCUCUGGGACGGUACUGACGCUGAGACGCGAAAGCGUGGGGAGCGAACAGG
rnacentral:rRNA from 1 species